UGACAGUUUAUAAAAGUAUUUAUCUAUCUUGGCAGUUGGCACACUCUCUGAGCUCUGUUGCCUCCAACUCCAUUAGAAUUUCCAUGAGAAAUGUUGAUGUCACAGUCAUUACCUUCAUGCCACUUUACGUUUAUCCCCAAUUCUCUCUCCUCUUCAUCAACACACACGCAAACACAGACACUCCCCAGCUUUUGUUGCUGUCUCUCCUCUUCAUCUACUGCUGAGUCUCCCACUUCCAAUUCCAAACUUCCAAACAAUAAGAAUAGAAACAACCAAGUUAAUAAUAAUAAUGAAAGGAGUAUUUCUCAAAUUAAAGUGUCACGCCAAAAAUAUAUACCAGUUUCCAAAUCCCAACUUCACGAUGCUCUUCUCUCUCUCCUCACCGACGAUUCCCUUAUCUCUCACUUCACCCUUCUAUCCUCGCGUUUAGACUCGAUUCUUCAUGCUGAGCAUAAAAGCAUUUUGGAAGAAAUGCGGGCUGAUUAUUUAUCCACUCAUUCUGUGAGAGAUGAGGGGGGUUUGGAUACAUUUGGACAUGAAAGGGAUGGAGAAGGUGGUUCUACUGAAGAAUUUCAGUUUGUUGAUGAUGGAUGGAAUGGAAGUGUGAAGACUAAUGGAGAUGACACCACGAAGUUAAUGGAAAAUCAAUCGUCUUUCUUAGAUGGGUUCGACUUUAUGCAAAUUUUUGGUUCUUCAAUGGGUGAUGCCCAGAAUAAUGAUGACAAGAACUCCAGUACUUCUGAAGUUGCUACAGCAACCCGUUUCCAGCGCUCUUUUAUGAAACUUCUUCAGGAUGCACAGUUUGAAGAGCUUUCAGUGAGGGAUUUGAUGCUUACAUCAGCACUAAACAGUGAUUAUCUUCUCACUUUGCCAAUAUAUGUUGAUUGGAAGCGAGCUUCUGAGUCCAAUGCAAUUAUAUUUAGGCGGGGCUACAGUACUGAAAAGCAGAAAGGGAUGCUCAUAGUUGAAAAGCUUGAUUAUCUACAAUCAAAGGUCCUGCUAGAAAUUUUUGGCCUCAUAUCAAAACCAUUGAUGACUAUUGGACUCUGGAUAAAAGAGGCCAUUCAACGAGCCAGUGAGAAAGAAGGCGUGCAGAUUUGGACCAGAAGAAUCCAGCUCUGGGCCCAGGAGACAUCUCUAUUCAAACAGCUAUAUUUUUCCAAUACAACAACGUCAAAUCCUAUACCAAAAUUCGGCCAGGGUUUAGACGCAAACUUGCCUAUCCGACUGGCUGCACAAGAGGCUGUAAGUCGUUAUGAAGGGUUCUUAUCAUCAAUAGGACCUCGUAGUAGGUUACUGAGAAAAUUUCUUUCUUGGGUUGGAGUUAUACCACCUACACCAGAAGCCCCUUAUGAGUUUGAUCCUGACAAUCUUGUUGCUACUGAGCCUCACUUAAGGCCAGUUCUGUUAUCUAGAAUCUCUCUCAAUGAUAUAUGGAGACCUGCUACAAGAAAAUAUUGUGGGAACAAUUUGUGGAGAAUGUUGAGAGUUGGAUUCUCUAUUAUAUUCUCUCAAUCAAUCAUUCAGGAACCUGCAUUUCAGGAAUUGAUUUUGCUGUACACCGAGCAAACUGGAGAUACGAAACUGUCGGGAAAAGCGGAGAUCUCUUCGUUGCAAUUAGAGAUUUAUGAGAAUAUUCCUGUGCCAGAUUUACCGGUCGUUUUUCCUCACAAAAAGCUAUCAUUCCGCAUACUGGACACGGUGCGCUUGGAUGUUGCCACAACAGUAGGACUUCUGGCUUACUUCAUCAAUUACAAAUUUGAGGAUGUCCUAUCUUCUCCUACUCAAUACAGUCGUACUGGUGGGCGAAAUUCGGUUUUCCAAAGUCUAAACACCUAUCCCUGGAAUGAGAGGAGGGAAGUCAGUUCUUCCUCGCUUAAAGUUACCACUUUCAUAGCUUAAACUUCUGGAAUCACUUCUAAUUGAGACCAUUUGGUUGUUUCCAGCUACCAAAAUUCCAUAUCAGGCACUUUGGUGAACAAAAUCCAUCUCCAACAGUCAUCUUUUAGCAAACCUAAAGCAGAGGAGGGUAGUAAGAAGAGAGAAAGAUGGUGGUAGAGGGAGGAGGAGAGACAGAAAGAUCGGAGGCUUCUGGGAGGUGGUUAACUGGAAAUAAGGCCGUGAGGUGACCCCUCGGAGGAGAGAUUUGGUGGGGCAGAUCACGAAUGGAAAGGCCUUUUUGCUAUGCUUUAGUGCUUCACGCUGACAUGAACUCCGCAUCUGCUUUCUUCCACCUGCAAUCCAAGAAGUUGCGCUGUCAUAACAACUUUAUGGUCAUCCUUUAAGGCAGGCAUAGGCUUGUUUUGGUAUUGGAAAAUACAUGUAACUUGAACUGGAACAAAGGGUUUAAGGGAACAAAUAUAAGUAGUAGGCAUACUAGGCAAAAUAUAGUUUUAGAAGGAUCUUUGUAUGACGAACUAAGUUACAAUUUGCAUAGGUUGUCUAAGAAAGAAUUGGAGUCAAGUGGAAUACCUCUGCAGCAAUAUGAACAAGCUCAGUUGGAUUCCUAGCAGCUUCUUUAAGGGGUCACUGGUGUCUCCAAUGUCCAUUGGGAGCAUAGGAUCCCAGAAUAUACCUGACAAAGAAUGAUCUCUGUCAAAGGCCAUGUCAAAGAUAAUUACACCACGGAGACUCUUGUGGAGGACAGUGCAAAAUUUCAACUGAAAUCAGAGGCAUUUAGAGAUUCCCCGAAAUCUCCCAGUCUCCCAGAGAUGCCUAAAAUCUUUAAUAACAAGUAAAAUAUAUGUGCACUGGAAUUAAAACUCAAAUUUGGUUUUGAUGAAGCCUUGCAAAGAGCUACAAGUCAUACUUGUUAAAACCUUCUGAGAAUGGUGGAAAUUGUCAAGGAAAUUUGGAGGUGACCUCCAUAUAUCUCCUUCUAGAGAUAGUAUGGUUGCCUCCAUAACUGGUGAACCUCCUAAAUGUUCUGUGCCAGUGCCUGAACAUUGCUGCUUGGAACACCACAUCAUCCACAAUGGACCAGAUUGUCUUCGAGAGCCCAUAUGAUAGUUAAACGUGGUUAGCCUAAGGCAAGGCCACUGAUUCAUCCACGGUCAGAUGUACUGCUAGAUGUCAUUUCUGUGAGCGCCCUCAUCAUUUUUGUAAUACGUGUAGCUCUUGGAUACAAACAGACGCGGGAUAGAUAUGAGGUAAAA